rnacentral:rRNA from 1 species
ACCUGGUGGCGAGUGGCGAACGGGUGAGUAAUACAUCGGAACAUGUCCUGUAGUGGGGGAUAGCCCGGCGAAAGCCGGAUUAAUACCGCAUACGAUCUACGGAUGAAAGCGGGGGACCUUCGGGCCUCGCGCUAUAGGGUUGGCCGAUGGCUGAUUAGCUAGUUGGUGGGGUAAAGGCCUACCAAGGCGACGAUCAGUAGCUGGUCUGAGAGGACGACCAGCCACACUGGGACUGAGACACGGCCCAGACUCCUACGGGAGGCAGCAGUGGGGAAUUUUGGACAAUGGGCGAAAGCCUGAUCCAGCAAUGCCGCGUGUGUGAAGAAGGCCUUCGGGUUGUAAAGCACUUUUGUCCGGAAAGAAAUCCUUGGUUCUAAUAUAGCCGGGGGAUGACGGUACCGGAAGAAUAAGCACCGGCUAACUACGUGCCAGCAGCCGCGGUAAUACGUAGGGUGCGAGCGUUAAUCGGAAUUACUGGGCGUAAAGCGUGCGCAGGCGGUUUGCUAAGACCGAUGUGAAAUCCCCGGGCUCAACCUGGGAACUGCAUUGGUGACUGGCAGGCUAGAGUAUGGCAGGGGGGGGUAGAAUUCCACGUGUAGCAGUGAAAUGCGUAGAGAUGUGGAGGAAUACCGAUGGCGAAGGCAGCCCCCUGGGCCAAUACUGACGCUCAUGCACGAAAGCGUGGGGAGCAAACAGG